rnacentral:rRNA from 1 species
GAUGAACGCUGGCGGCGUGCCUAAUACAUGCAAGUCGAGCGAACAGACGAGGAGCUUGCUCCUCUGACGUUAGCGGCGGACGGGUGAGUAACACGUGGAUAACCUACCUAUAAGACUGGGAUAACUUCGGGAAACCGGAGCUAAUACCGGAUAAUAUAUUGAACCGCAUGGUUCAAUAGUGAAAGACGGUUUUGCUGUCACUUAUAGAUGGAUCCGCGCCGCAUUAGCUAGUUGGUAAGGUAACGGCUUACCAAGGCAACGAUGCGUAGCCGACCUGAGAGGGUGAUCGGCCACACUGAAACUGAGACACGGUCCAGACUCCUACGGGAGGCAGCAGUAGGGAAUCUUCCGAAAUGGGCGAAAGCCUGACGGAGCAACGCCGCGCGAGUGAUGAAGGUCUUCGGAUCGUAAAACUCUGUUAUUAGGGAAGAACAAAUGUGUAAGUAACUAUGCACGUCUUGACGGUACCUAAUCAGAAAGCCACGGCUAACUACGU